GAUCAUGGCUCAGGAUGAACGCUGGCGGCGUGCUUAACACAUGCAAGUCGAACGAAGCACUCUAAUUGAUUUCUUCGGAAUGAAGUUUUGUGACUGAGUGGCGGACGGGUGAGUAACGCGUGGGUAACCUGCCUCAUACAGGGGGAUAACAGUUGGAAACGACUGCUAAUACCGCAUAAGCGCACAGGACUGCAUGGUCUGGUGUGAAAAACUCCGGUGGUAUGAGAUGGACCCGCGUCUGAUUAGCUAGUUGGUGAGGUAACGGCCCACCAAGGCGACGAUCGGUAGCCGGACUGAGAGGUUGAACGGCCACAUUGGGACUGAGACACGGCCCAGACUCCUACGGGAGGCAGCAGUGGGGAAUAUUGCACAAUGGGGGAAACCCUGAUGCAGCGACGCCGCGUGGAGGAAGAAGGUCUUCGGAUUGUAAACUCCUGUUGUUGAGGAAGAUAAUGACGGUACUCAACAAGGAAGUGACGGCUAACUACGUG
rnacentral:rRNA from 1 species